GACGAACGCUGGCGGCGUGCUUAACACAUGCAAGUCGAACGGAAAGGCCCUGCUUUUGUGGGGUGCUCGAGUGGCGAACGGGUGAGUAACACGUGAGUAACCUGCCCUUGACUUUGGGAUAACUUCAGGAAACUGGGGCUAAUACCGGAUAGGAGCUCCUGCUGCAUGGUGGGGGUUGGAAAGUUUCGGCGGUUGGGGAUGGACUCGCGGCUUAUCCGCUUGUUGGUGGGGUAGUGGCUUACCAAGGCUUUGACGGGUAGCCGGCCUGAGAGGGUGACCGGCCACAUUGGGACUGAGAUACGGACCAGACUCCUACGGGAGGCAGCAGUGGGGAAUAUUGCACAAUGGGCGGAAGCCUGAUGCAGCAACGCUGCGUGCGGGAUGACGGCCUUCGGGUUGUAAACCGCUUUCGCCUGUGACGAAGCGUGAGUGACGGUAAUGGGUAAAGAAGCACCGGCUAACUACGUG
rnacentral:rRNA from 1 species